ACCUUCCUUCCUCUAACUCGCUUCAAUCAGGACCAGAAACACAGAAACCCUUCAUUACUUCUAUCUCACACCAUGCCCCAAGCUUGUGUCUCCACGGAGCUAAUUUCUGAAACAAACAAAGAAAAUCAAGUCUGCGAGGAGCGGGGGUUUUCUCCUCUCUUCCUUGGAUUUGGGCAUCCAGCCCGGCGGGCGCCGCACCGCAAGCCAGUCCCGGCACCCAGCGGCACCCUAACCUUCCGCGCCCCGCUAGCCCAGGUUCCCGCUGCGCCAGAAAGUGCGAGCCCGCCCUGCUCCUUUCGCUUCUUGCCCGCUGCUGCUCCCCAAGUCUCCAGAACCCUCGCGUUCGCACACUAAGGACGCCAGCGCUCUCCCACCUCUGCGCUGUCAGAUGUCAGGCGCGGAGGUGCUGUGGGCGCCCCGGGUGCUGGCAAACCGAACCAGUGUCCCAGGGGCGCCUGCCCUCACUCCGAGAGAGGGGGCAGGCGGCCACAGGUUGGAACACAAAGCUGAAUCUCCAAAUAACAAAGGGUUCUUAUCUUCAGAGACAUGUAGAGGAAAUUACAUGAUGUCUGGCAUUUUCUUCAAAAUCAUCCACAGAGAAGUACAGGAGAAUCAAGAGGGGCAACAUGAGGAAAUCAGGGAAGCUUUAUGCAACACUAGUCUAAAUUCUGCAAUGUACCCCUCAAGCCUGCCUCUCACCACUAACGUCUGGCACCGACUCUGCACACAAAGCCUGGGUAGCUGUAGUGUAAACUGAAGAUAUGGGUGAUUAGGAUGUUAAGUGGGAGCAAAGAAAGCUCUUCGUUAUUCUUUUGGAAAUAAAAAGGGAUAAAACUCAGCGAUCAUUAAGCCUUUCACUUUCCUACAAUUUGUCAGCACAGUUGGGGGCUGGCUUCCUUUCCACAGAUCUGCAAGGAAGGUGAUGGGCUGCAUGGGGAUUUACAAACUGAGGAAAACAGAGACGAGUCCAGUGGGGGAAGGGAAGAUAGAAAAGAUCUUGAAGUCAGAAAAACUCAAGGUCCACAUUUAUCUUGGUGGCAGCAGCUACAAAUGUGAAAUCAAAGCUCUGAUGCUAGACAACUGGAAUUGUAG